rnacentral:rRNA from 1 species
AUUGAACGCUGGCGGCAGGCCUAACACAUGCAAGUCGAGCGGAUGAAGGGAGCUUGCUCCUGGAUUCAGCGGCGGACGGGUGAGUAAUGCCUAGGAAUCUGCCUGGUGGUGGGGGAUAACGUCCGGAAACGGGCGCUAAUACCGCAUACGUCCUGAGGGAGAAAGUGGGGGAUCUUCGGGCCUCACGCUAUCAGAUGAGCCUAGGUCGGAUUAGCUAGUUGGUGGGGUAAAGGCCUACCAAGGCGACGAUCCGUAACUGGUCUGAGAGGAUGAUCAGUCACACUGGAACUGAGACACGGUCCAGACUCCUACGGGAGGCAGCAGUGGGGAAUAUUGGACAAUGGGCGAAAGCCUGAUCCAGCCAUGCCGCGUGUGUGAAGAAGGUCUUCGGAUUGUAAAGCACUUUAAGUUGGGAGGAAGGGCAGUAAGUUAAUACCCUGCUGUUUUGACGUUACCAACAGAAUAAGCACCGGCUAACUUCGUG